rnacentral:lncRNA from 1 species
AGCUAAUUUUAUGUAUUUUUAGUAGAGAUGGGGUUUCACCAUGUUGGUCAGGCUGGUCUUGAACUCCUGACCUCAGGUGAUCCACCCACGUCAGGCUCCCAAAGUGCUGAGAUUACAGGCAUGAACCACUGUGCCCAGCCGAAAACAACCAAGAAUUUUUUAACAAUAAAAUGACCAGCAAGUAAACUUGAAACAAAAAUGGACAAAUAUCUAAAAUAUUUUUAAAUAGUUUUAGGAGUUUUCUACAUAUUAAGGAUACUAAUUCCUGAUCACAUACACAACUUGCAACUAUUUUCUCCCAUCUAAACCAGCUGGAACCCUCUGGAAAGUUCCAGAACCACCAGCAUCAGGGUGGCCAAGACGUGGGCACUGCCAGACAGGGGACCAUGUGGGGCCAGAAGAAAUUAUAGGACAUAGCAGGUCUCAGACAUGACCAGAGACUGCUGCCAGUGGUGGAAGGCUUCCCUGAGCGUGAUGACCUGGCCACUCCACAGGAAGCCUCCACACCCAAGGUUAAAGGUGUCCAGCUGCGGCCAGGGUUCCGGGGUACCUGUGGAUCCCGUGACGUGGCACCGAAGAUCUGAGCUGUGCAGAGGAGCUGCACCACAGAGGCCAGGUUUCCGUGUGGAGAACGCGCAUAAUGGGAGGCCUUGAGCUGAGACCCAGCCCCCGACCCCCACCCCCACCCACCAGCAGGGGAUUCUCCUCAGGGCCUCACAGAGCACCACGUGGUGUCAUUGCUGGUCCUGCCAUAGCUCCCAGGACCAAUGCUUCCCAGAACUCCCUGCUACAUAAAUACAUCCGGUCCCUUUCCCUCGAGAUCUUGAAAAGUGAAGACUUCACUUGGCAGUAACGGUAAAACAUUUCAACAUGGUAAGUUGUCAUUUUAUGCACACAUGGAAUGGUGGCCCAUAAAGGGCCUGGGGGUCCAAUAUCCUACAUACUGGACUCCUCAUUAGUCCUCUGAGUCUUCUGUUCCCCAACACACUGCAUUGGGAUCAAACUGAAUUUGCAGCCAGGCAUCAUAGCUCAUGCCUGUAAUUCCAGCACUUUGGGAGGCUGAGAUAGAGGAUCACUUGAGGCCAGGAGUCCAAGACCAGCCUGGGGAACAUAACGAGACCUUGCCUCUAAAAAAAAAAUUUUAAAAAUUAGCCUGGUGUAGUGGGCAUGCCUAUAGUCUUAGCUACUAGGGAGGCUGAGGUAGGAGGAUCACUUGAGCCCAGGAGUUCAAAGUUAUAGUGAGCUAAGAGUGCAUCACAGCACUCCAGCCCGGGCAACAGAGCAAGACCCUGAUUCUAAACACACCUAUACACACACACACACACACCCCACCACCAACAACAAUGAAAAACCCUGAAUUUACAUCCUUCACGAUAAAGUGAUAGCUUCUGUGACAUUUGCACAGAAUUCUGAGUAAAGUUGCCUUUUCAGUCACAUCUGUUAAUGUUGACAAGACAUAAUCUAAAAAUCAAGAGGAUGAGAAUAGAAGGACCACUUCCCUUCUAGUGACCUCCUGGACCACACCAAGCACCAACAUCAUGAGGAUCCAAGGAAUCUCUGGAAAGUUCUAUCUCCAGAAGAUACCCUGAGAACACUUAGGCCCUCCCAGACCACAUGAAGAACCAACGUCAUAAGGAUCCAAGGCAUCCCUGGAAAGUUCCUUCUCCAGAAGAAGGAUCCAAGGCAUCUCUGGAAAGUUCCAUCUCCAGAAGAUUCCCUGAGAACACUUAGGCCCUCCCAGACCACACCAAGCACCAACAUCAUGAGGAUCCAAGGCGUCCCUGGAAAGUUCCCUCUCCAGAAGAUUCCCUGAGAAGACUUAGGCAUGAUCUUAAAUAAAUAUUCCUGUUGUUUAAAAGGCCUUAAAUUCCUCAUAUUUAAGCUGUUGGGAGUCCCUUGCAAUUCCAUAUACACUUGAGAAUCUACUUUUAUUUCUUUGAACAGGGCUGUUGGAAUUUUGAUAGGCAUUGUGUUGAAUCUGUAGAUCACUUUGGGUAGUAUUGACAUCUUAACAAUAUUAAGUCUUCCUAUCCAUGAAUAUGGGAUGUCUUUCCAUUUAUUUAGGUGUUCUUUAAUUUCUUUUAGCAAUCUUUUCUAUUUUCAGCAUACGAGUCUUUCACCUCCUUGGUUAGACUUAUUUCUGAGUAUUUAAUUCUUUUAGAUCUUGUUGUAAAUGGCAUUGUUUACUUAAUUUCCUGUUUGAAUUGUUCAAUACUGAUGCACAGAAACAAAUGAAUUUUGCGUGUUGGUCUUGAUGUGUUGAUCUUGUAACUUUGCUGAAUUUGUUUAUGAGCUAUUGUACCUUCUUGUGGGUUCUUUUGGAUUUUCUAUAUGUAGGAUUAUGUCAUCUUCAAAUAGAGAUCGUUUUACCACUUCCCAUCCA